rnacentral:rRNA from 1 species
UACGUAGGGUGCAAGCGUUAAUCGGAAUUACUGGGCGUAAAGCGUGCGCAGGCGGUUAUGUAAGACAGAUGUGAAAUGCCCGGGCUUAACCUGGGAACUGCAUUUGUGACUGUCCGGCUAGAGUGUGUCAGAGGGGGGUAGAAUUCCACGUGUAGCAGUGAAAUGCGUAGAGAUGUGGAGGAAUACCGAUGGCGAAGGGCCAGCCCCCUGGGAUAACACUGACGCUG